rnacentral:rRNA from 1 species
GACGAACGCUGGCGGCGUGCUUAACACAUGCAAGUCGAACGGAAAGGCCCUGCUUCUGUGGGGUGCUCGAGUGGCGAACGGGUGAGUAACACGUGAGUAACCUGCCCUUGACUUUGGGAUAACUUCAGGAAACUGGGGCUAAUACCGGAUAGGAGCUCCUGCUGCAUGGUGGGGGUUGGAAAGUUUCGGCGGUUGGGGAUGGACUCGCGGCUUAUCAGCUUGUUGGUGGGGUAGUGGCUUACCAAGGCUUUGACGGGUAGCCGGCCUGAGAGGGUGACCGGCCACAUUGGGACUGAGAUACGGCCCAGACUCCUACGGGAGGCAGCAGUGGGGAAUAUUGCACAAUGGGCGGAAGCCUGAUGCAGCAACGCCGCGUGCGGGAUGACGGCCUUCGGGUUGUAAACCGCUUUCGCCUGUGACGAAGCGUGAGUGACGGUAAUGGGUAAAGAAGUACCGGCUAACUACGUG